rnacentral:rRNA from 1 species
GUGUAAUGGGCGAGCCUGACGGAGCACGCCGCGUGAGGGAUGAAGGCCUCUGGGCUGUAAACCUCUUUUAUCAAGGAAGAAGAUCUGACGGUACUUGAUGAAUAAGCCACGGCUAAUUCCGUGCCAGCAGCCGCGGUAAUACGGGAGUGGCAAGCGUUAUCCGGAAUUAUUGGGCGUAAAGCGUCCGCAGGCGGCCCUUCAAGUCUGCUGUUAAAAAGUGGAGCUUAACUCCAUCAUGGCAGUGGAAACUGUUGGGCUUGAGUGUGGUAGGGGCAGAGGGAAUUCCCGGUGUAGCGGUGAAAUGCGUAGAUAUCGGGAAGAACACCAGUGGCGAAGGCGCUCUGCUGGGCCAUCACUGACGCUCAUGGACGAAAGCCAGGGGAGCGAAAGGGAUUAGAUACCCCUGUAGUCCUGGCCGUAAACGAUGAACACUAGGUGUCGGGGGAAUCGACCCCCUCGGUGUCGUAGCCAACGCGUUAAGUGUUCCGCCUGGGGAGUACGCACGCAAGUGUGAAACUCAAAGAAAUUGACGGA